rnacentral:lncRNA from 1 species
UUCUUUACUACCUCUCUUUAUGCCGUACAGAAAAAAUGGGAGGAACAAUUGAGGAAUCAUCUAAAGCAAUUGCUGAUCUAUCCGUUGACAACUCUAAUCCUAUGCAAUCAGAACCAGAAGUUCUCAGCAAGAAGGAAGUUGCAAACUCACACAAAUCCAACAUUCUUAAAUUUGAUAUGGAUUCAUUCAAGUUUUGAAUGAAACAAAUAUCUGAAAUGACAACAAGUGUGUGCAUUUCCCUAUCAAAACCCUUGAACUAACCUUUUAGACACGAAGGGUAUUCUGAGGCUGAAUCGUCUGGAUUCACCAAAAUUUUGGAAUAGAGGGAGUAGCUUUCUGCUCUCUCUCAUGCUGUCUCUGUACACACACACACACACACACACACACACACACACAUAUAUAUACAUACAUACAUACAUAUAUAUGUAUACUCAAAUUAUGUAUCUAUCAUAUAUUUUCUGCCAUGCUAGAAUCUUAUUUUGAAUUCUUUUGAUUUUACAACUGUAGCGCUCGCAAGAAAGAAUUGAAAAAUAAACAGAAAGAGGAGGAACGACGACGUAAGGAAGAGGAGAAGGAGAAAAAGGUACACUCUCAGCUGUUUUUGAUUCCAUGAAAUCCUUUGUUUAAUUUUCAUUUGUAAGUUUGAUUUAUUUAGUUUAAGUGACUAUUACACUGUAAAACUUGUGACUAGGAACUUAUAUCAGAAUUGGAGAGGUAACUCCAUUGUUCAAGUAUGCCUAGGCAGCCCGAAAGUUUGAAAAAAGCCAUUCUCCACGGAGGAUUUUGUUUUUUUCCACCUGUAUAUCCUUUGGACUUGCCUUGCAUGCUCCUUCCUCUAUUAGAAAUAUUUUCUUUUAUUUAAAUAAAAAUUAUGGAUAUGUCAUAAUAUGAACUGAUUCAUUUAUCUAUAGAUAAAAGUACUUUUACAUACUUGAUUAUUCAUGUUGUGGUUUUAUGAUUAUGUUGGACAAGUUUAAAUAAAUAACAAGUUUCAGUUUCAAUGCUUAGGAGUUUGAUAUUAUCUCUGAUCCUUUAUGUGGCUUCUCUUUUUCUUGUUAAUCUCUUGAUUCUAUUCAUCUUUUAAUUUUCCCCUGCAAAGGAUAGUAUAAAAAAUGAACUAAGAGCACGAUUAAAACAUUGAAAACAUGAGUUGUGUCAAACUUGAAAGAAAGGCCUAGGCUUUUACUAUUUUUAUUGGAGUUAUCUUCUAUAGAGAUCACCACAAAGACACACUGACACACAGCACUGCUGCUUGUCAUAAUGCUACCCUAUUAUUUUCCAUUCAUGAAAAAUUAGUUUCUUAAAUUAAUUGACAAGUAAUUGCUGUUUCUGAAAAUGUUUUGGAUCAAGUUGUAAUAUCUGUUUCUCAUAUGUAUUUGUAUAUUUGAUGACACAUCAGUUAGUCGUUUUUGAUCUCAGUAUUCACAUGUUUUUCUGAUAAUUUUGAUGAUAUGAUGCAUUCUCAUUGUUGGGUUCGAUUCAUUGAACAUUUGUUCAUGCAAUUAAUUUUUUGUAAUUGGGUUGAAUUUUGGGCGUCCAUUUGCUUACUUGCGACUUGUGAGCCAUUUAAAGGAAAAAAAGAAAGCAUAAAAUAGGAGCAGAAGAACCACAAUCCACUUAAAGAAAAAUCAAAUAAAAUAGAAGAAGAAUAAUUUCAAGUAUUAUGCUGUGUAGUUGAUAUGAAAAUUAAUGUGGCAAACCACUUAUAGAAAUUCUCAGUGUUCUGUAGGAAUCUGCAAUCGACGUUUAUGGCUUCUAUUAUUUCUCCUAACAGCUUUCUUUACUACCUCUCUUUAUGCCGUACAGAAAAAAUGGGAGGAACAAUUGAGGAAUCAUCUAAAGCAAUUGCUGAUCUAUCCGUUGACAACUCUAAUCCUAUGCAAUCAGAACCAGAAGUUCUCAGCAAGAAGGAAGUUGCAAACUCACACAAAUCCAACAUUCUUAAAUUUGAUAUGGAUUCAUUCAAGUUUUGAAUGAAACAAAUAUCUGAAAUGACAACAAGUGUGUGCAUUUCCCUAUCAAAACCCUUGAACUAACCUUUUAGACACGAAGGGUAUUCUGAGGCUGAAUCGUCUGGAUUCACCAAAAUUUUGGAAUAGAGGGAGUAGCUUUCUGCUCUCUCUCAUGCUGUCUCUGUACACACACACACACNNNN